GUUAUUAUAGUGUAAUUAACACCUUGCAUUUUCAUUGCAAAGCUAUAGGUUUCUAACCCUUUUAAAAACA
rnacentral:tRNA from 1 species